rnacentral:sRNA from 1 species
ACGCGGCCGCCAGUUGUGAGCUCGAAGAUCUCGAUCUCAGCUCCUCGCCCCCCAUACCGGCCCUGCCACUCAGCAACAAACAUCGCAGUGUUGAUCCACUUUAGAUCGUUGAUGUCCGUGCUGAAUGUACUGCGCAUGUGCUGUUAGUUGGUGGUAAAUAGCUUCAGGAGAUGGGAGACACAUACGCGUAGCCCAAUCCGUGAAGAUCCUGCUUGGAAUAGGAGGUGGUGCCAACAACCUUGGCUAUAAUGUGCUCCCCGGCGUCGUUCUCAAAAAGAUAACGGGAUUCGAAAGACUAGUUAUGGAAAGUCAGCCUGGCUUUAUCAUUUUGUGUCACACUGAUGGACAUACAGUGAAGCUCCCUGUGCAAGUGUCCAGAUACGCUUCGACGGAUGAGGUAAUGUUCUCCACAAUGUGGCCAUUGAAUCUGCCUUUGAUAUCGCCGCUCAAAACUGGGACGGUGGCAACCACGCCGGCUGCCGUCGUGGUGUUGAUGGGAUAGCCGACCUGAUACUCAAUGGUGACGAAAGACUUGCCCUUCGGUUGAUUGAAAACUCCAUUUGCUGCCAGGGUGCCUGCCACUGAGCACAUGAGAGUCAAAAAUUUGAGAUGCAUUGUGAGAGGAAAUUCUGUCGAAUGAGGACUGAGAGGUCGUCGAGAAGGAGUUUGUAAAUGAUUGUUCGAUGAAGUAUCAAUCGAGCGAUGCAGGAGAGAUUUAUAUCCAUCAUGGGAAGGGACCAAAAUUCCUCUCUAUCUGCGAUCAUGGCUUGGCCGCUUCUUGGUCUUGUUACGUCCGUACCAAAGAUCAAUGAGUUUUUUGUUGAGCGGAGAUUGUAGUAUGGACACAACCAAUUAGAGUCAGCGGUGCGGUCCAUGCAUCCCUUCUUUGACAGCUCCGAGAUACAACGGACAGAACGAUCUUCGGACUUAUCCCAUCACAAUGGGGGGCUUGACUUUGCCGAGAAGCUUGAGAAACGACAAUUUCAAAAAUGUCAGCACUACAAGAUCCGGAUGAAUUGGCAUCGCAAUUUCAACGGAGAUUCCUGCAUUAGAAUGGCUUACUGCGUGGGAACUCUCUUAGAUUUGCUGGAAACUCAGCCAACAUGUCCGAAUGCUAGUGAUGAGAUAGAUGAUUGUAGAAUAUUUGUUUGGUGCGUGACGUUUGAAAAAGCAAGCAAAAUGGAAUGGCUUAUUAAUCGCCAGAUCAGCGGAUUUUCAUCGUUAGACUUGCUAGUACGG